CCCGCGGUAAUUUGACCGUGCGAAGGUAGCAUAGUCAGUAGUCUUUUAAUUGAAGGCUUGAAUGAAAGGUUGGACGAGGGAUGAGCUGUCUCCUUUAUGUAAUUUGAAUUUAACUUUUGAGUGAAAAGGCUCAAAUUAUUUAGUGGGACGAUAAGACCCUAUAAAACUUUAUAUAAGUUUAAUUUGGCUUACAAUUUGAGUGAAAAGUAGCUUUAUUAGGUUUAUAUUUCGUUGGGGAGAUGUAGAUAUAAUGUGUAACUGUCUAUUUAAUUUAAUAAUUAUAAUUAGUGUGUGAUCCUUCUUUGUGGAUUAAAAGUAUAAGUUACUUUAGGGAUAACAGCGUGAUUUUCUUUGAGAGUUCUUAUCGACAAGAGUAGUUGCGACCUCGAUGUUGAAUUAAAAUUUCAGUUAGGUGUAGCCGUCUAGCUGGUAGGUCUGUUCGACCUUUAAAAUUUUACAUGAUUUGAGUUCAAACCGGUGUGAGCCAGGUUGGUUUCUAUCUA
rnacentral:rRNA from 1 species